rnacentral:rRNA from 1 species
AACGAACGUUAGCGGCGCGCUUAACACAUGCAAGUCGUGCGAGAAAGGGGAAACCCCGGUAAAGCGGCGCACGGGUGAGUAACACGUAGGUAAUCUGCCCCCAGGUGGUGGAUAACCUUCCGAAAGGAGGGCUAAUACAGCAUGAGACCACGGUUCCGCAAGGGAUUGAGGUCAAAGCCGGCCUCUUCAUGAAAGCUGGCGCCAGGGGAUGAGCCUGCGGCCCAUCACGGUAGUUGGUAGGGUAAUGGCCUACCAAGCCUAAGACGGGUAGCUGGUCUGAGAGGAUGAUCAGCCACACUGGAACUGAGACACGGUCCAGACUCCUACGGGUGGCAG